GUUUAACGAAUUGUAUGUCAAGCGUUGAAAAGCAGACAAUUUGUUGACAAUCGACGUCUCUCAGCCAUCAUAUAUAUCCCCGUUUCCUCUUAAAAACUCCUAGUUCCGACCUGAAGACUUUCCUGUGAUCACGAGAUUCUUGAUGGAGUUCAGAAAAGGGUAACCCUCUCCCCCCCUCAUUCAGGGAGAGGAAAAUUGAAGCCUAGAUCAUAAUACAACGGGGGCGCACUCUCUACACCGAGGUGAACUCAUAAGGCUAAAUUUUCAGGCAAAUGGGGCAACGGCCUUAUAAAGAAGAUGACGAAGAAUAAAAAAAGAAGAUAUAUCAAGCACUACUACCCGGGGAUUUGGAAGGUCUCCUUUGACGAAAAGAUAAUGAAAGCCGCCGAUCAGAAAGCAUCCAAGAUGGCGGCUGCAGACGGGGAUAUAUGGGUCCCGAGAUCGCCCUUACAAGUAAGUAGGAUGCUCCAAUCACGAUAGUCCUACGACCGUAACUAUCACCGGACCCAGCUGUCCAAUUCGAGUUCAGAGUGACUCAUCCGGCCCAGUGCCUUGGGUCAAGCUAAAACCCUACAAGCCUUUCAAUAGUGGACUCAUACUCCAGACAAGUCCCAAACUCACCCACGUAACCAAACUCGUACCACAGCCUUGUGCGAUCAGCAGUUCCAGUUGCACUCUACUUAUUCCCUUCAUAGCUUCCUCGACCAUCAUCCCACUGGCUCAUACUACAACAAACAUCAGGUCUACUGACAUACCAGUUAAUAAUAGUAAUAAUAAGUUUUAAUUAUCAACUCAAGGCCAUAUGCAUGGAAUAUGCAAAGAAUAGACAAUAACAUACACAGUCUAGAUACAAAAGAUAACAUGAUAAGAAGAAAAAAAAUUAAUUUGCAAUAUGCACCCUGGCUGAGGUAGUAUAAAUGAUGGUAAUCAAAACUAUGGUAAUAACCGUAACAAAAUUGAGAACAAUGAAAAACUGAAUGUAGGAAAUCUAUUUUGAUUAUAAUCACAGUAUUAAUGAAAAAUGAAAAAUACUAGUAAUAACAAUAUUCGUAGCAUUAUAAUGACAGUGACAGAUUGUGCAGAUGGCACUUUGCAAAAACAGAGAUUAAGUCAUUUAGGGAGCAAAUGCCGCAUUUUCCCAUCUUCCCCACAAUUUAGAUCUUCGUGCCUCACUACUUAGGAUGCUUUGUAUGAGCGAAUUGCUGCUGUUUCACGGUCGGGUGAUCAGACUGGACAUUGUUCGCCUUAAAGUGAUUUUUAAGUUGUUCAGGUGGUUUUUUUGUGAACAUCUGUGUGGCGGAGUGGUAGUAAGGAGUGUUUGCGAGGCGUCUCAAAAUGUCAUUGUGAACAAUAUUGAUACGUCUCAUAGUCUCUCGGGUGUACUUCGUCCACAGGGAGCACCCAUAGAUAUUGUAGCAAUACGAGCAGAGGAACAGCAGUUUCAAGUCUCAGUGACAGAAGGCAAACCUCCGUGCAGUCAUGUUGCCAGUUGUACAUAGUUUACGACGCCUCUGUUCUAUGUCUGCCAUAUCUUAAGGUCGUCCAUGAUAAUGUGACCCAAAUACGGGAAAUUCGUGCACGAAUUCCAGCCAGUGGUUUCUGAGGAAAAUUUGUGAUUCUGCAAUAUGCUUAAGCGAUCUCGGGGGCAGCGACAUGCACUGGGUUGUGGUUUCAUUGUACAGGAUAUCAAAUUCCUCUGGAUAUUGGCGGCAAGUGUUCAUGAGCCAUUUGAGGCCUUGCACUGAUGGGGAAAUCAGAGCCAUAUCGUCAGCGUAGUAGAGGUUAUUUAUAAUUGUUUCAUUGACAGUACAUCCGAUUGUGAGUGAGUUCAGUUUGAUAUUCAGGGCAUCUGUGUACGUGUUAAACAGGUAUGGAGAGAUAAUGCUCAUUGCCCCCCUUUUAGGGAGCAGAAGGUGUAUGACAAUACGUUACUCCAUUUGACACAGAAUUGCCGUGUGGAAAAUACAUUUGACGCCCAAAUUCCUGGUGGCUUUCGUAUUCUCGGGGACGAACGAUGCGGUAAUGCGGAAUGCUUAUAUGAAAACACCCAAUGUGCCAAAAGAACUGUAUUUACAAUUUGAUCCAGUGUCUGUAAUUGUGGUUCCCAUUCCUAAUCAACUUCUCCAUUCCCAUUCCUAAAUCCUCAGUCUCUUUGAAUUUGUUUUCGCAAGUUCCUAUCCAACUGAAUUGUGACCUAUUGCUGUGACAUAAUUAUUCCGUGAUGUGUUAUAGUCAUAUUUUAAUAAGUGAUUUAGUUGUGCACUUGGCAAUAAGCUCUGAGUAAAUAUUUUGCUUGAAACAGUGUAAAAUUGAGUAAGGUUUUGCCUUGCACUUGCAACUCAAAGCAUAAAGUAAAUUCCUUACAAUAUUCUUAACCCCAGUCGCUACAACUCUGAACAUCUUGCUGAUUUACCAGCAGUGCUGUUAUGUCUACCUGAGUGCCCAGCAACAGUGUUAAACAGAAACAAUUGCCAAUUGCACAUUUUAAGUAAUCAUAGAUGCUAUUUUGAGUGGUGCUUUUACUCCUGCUGUUCUGUGUCAGACCCAUAAAAGGAAUUCCCGUUUUACUUUUUCAUGUUAACCUGUUGUGUCACUAGUUAGUGCUCAUAACUCUGUUUAAUUUAGCCUGCAUGCCAUGAGGUUCAAUAGCAAACCCUGAAGCGCCUCAGUGGCAUGGUUGGUAUGGUCCUUGCUUGUCACCUCGGUGGCCGCGAGUUCGAUUCUUGAGCAUUCCAUUGAGGAGUCAGAGAUGUGUAUUUCUGGUGAUAGAAGUUCACUCUGACCCUGAUCCCGUUGCUGAAUAACCACUGGUUCCAUGCACGUAAAAACACCAUAAAAACAAUCAAACAAACAAUAGUAACCCCUGU